rnacentral:rRNA from 1 species
UUGAGAGUGGCGCACGGGUGCGCAACGCGUAUGCAACCAACCCCCGACGGGCGGAUAGACCGGUGGAAACGCCGGAUAAUACGCCGAUGGUUCCGAGUGAGGGCAUCCUCAUUCGGAUAAAGCCGAGAGGCGGUCGGGGACGGGCAUGCGUCCCAUUAGAUUGUAGGCGGGGUGACGGCCCACCUAGUCGACGAUGGGUAGGGGAUCUGAGAGGACGGUCCCCCACACUGGUACUGAGACACGGACCAGACUCCUGCGGGAGGCAGCAGUAAGGGAUAUUGGUCAAUGGUCGGAAGACUGAACCAGCCAUGCCGCGUGAGGGAAUGAGGCCCUACGGUCGUGAACCUCUUUUAUUCGGGGACAAGGCGGCGCACGUGAUGCGUUGUUGAGGGUACCGAAGGAAUAAGCGUCGGCUAACUCCGUGCCAGCAGCAGC